UUCAAGCGAUGGGGUGACGCAGGAAGGUAGCUGGGCCAGUCAGUGGUUGUACUGGUGUAAGAGUGUAGGCCGUGACAUAGGCAAAUCCGUGUCACAUUAAGGCUGAGACUUGAUGCAUACCCGUUGUGGGGAAUUCAGUGAUCCUAUGCUGCCGAGAAGAGCCUCUAGUGAGUUCAUACACGGCCCGUACCCCAAACCGACACAGGUGAUCAGGUAGAGAAUACCAAGGCGAUCGAGAGAACUGUGGUUAAGGAACUCGGCAAAAUGCCCCCGUAACUUCGGGAGAAGGGGGACCAUGCCCGGUGAACAUCUUCACGGUGUGAGCUGGGUGUGGUCGCAGAGACCAGAGAGAAGCGACUGUUUACUAAAAACACAGGUCCGUGCGAAGACGUAAGUCGAUGUAUACGGACUGACGCCUGCCCGGUGCUGGAAGGUUAAGAGGACCGGUUAGCCGUAAGGCGAAGCUGAGAAUUUAAGCCCCAGUAAACGGCGGUGGUAACUAUAACUAUCCUAAGGUAGCGAAAUUCCUUGUCGGGUAAGUUCCGACCUGCACGAAUGGCGUAACGACUUCUCUGCUGUCUCGACCACAGACUCGGCGAAAUUGCACUACGAGUAAAGAUGCUCGUUACGCGCGGCAGGACGAAAAGACCCCGGGACCUUUACUAUAGCUUGGUAUUGGCGUUCGAUUCGGUUUGUGUAGGAUAGGUGGGAGACUGUGAAGCAUGCACGCCAGUGUGUGUGGAGUCGUUGUUGAAAUACCACUCUGAUCGUAUUGGACGUCUAACCUCGGCCCAUGAUCUGGGUUAGGGACAGUGCCUGGUGGGUAGUUUAACUGGGGCGGUUGCCUCCUAAAGAGUAACGGAGGCGCCCAAAGGUUCCCUCAGCCUGGAUGGCAAUCAGGUGUUGAGUGCGAGUGCACAAGGGAGCUUGACUGUGAGACUGACACGUCGAGCAUGGACGAAAGUCGGGACUAGUGAUCCGGCACCGGCAAGUGGAAGCGGUGUCGCUCAACGGAUAAAAGGUACCCCGGGGAUAACAGGCUGAUCUUCCCCAAGAGUCCAUAUCGACGGGAUGGUUUGGCACCUCGAUGUCGGCUCGUCGCAUCCUGGGGCUGGAGUAGGUCCCAAGGGUUGGGCUGUUCGCCCAUUAAAGCGGCACGCGAGCUGGGUUUAGAACGUCGUGAGACAGUUCGGUCUCUAUCCGCCGCGCGCGUAAGAAACUUGAGGAAGGCUGUCCCUAGUACGAGAGGACCGAGACGGACGAACCUCUGGUGUGCCAGUUGUUCCACCAGGAGCAUGGCUGGUUAGCUACGUUCGGAAGGGAUAACCGCUGAAAGCAUCUAAGCGGGAAGCCUGUUCCAAGAUGAGGUUUCUCACCACCUUGCGUGGUUAAGGCCCCCUACAGACCAUGGGGUUGAUAGGCCGGAACUGGAAGCGCAGCAAUGCGUGGAGGUGACCGGUACUAAUAGGCCGAGGGCU
rnacentral:rRNA from 1 species